GCAGUUCUGUGACUGAUAGAGAAAGUGGUCAGUGCUGGAGUCUGAAUCACAAAUGCCAACAUAACACCUCUCAUUCCUACACAGACAAGAGAAAAACGGUGGGAUUCAGUUGCUCCAGGUGCUUACAUGAAAUAUCCUGAAAACUGCUCAGCCCAAAUGCUUUUUGCCUGUGAAGAAGCUGAAGAUGGCCACUCACUGGCCUGGUAGGAAUGAGAAUAGAAUACUUUAAGGCCUCUCCUGACAAGUAUUUUCCUCUAAGGAGUAACCAAACAAUUAAACCAAAACACUUCUUUAUCUCUAUUUAUUUAGUCAUAGUGAGACAAGUUCUAAGCUAGGUUCUUACAAAACUGCCAUUAGAAGACUUUCCCUAAGUAACAGAAUAAACUCCAGAAAGAAUCCCAAUGUCUCUCCCCAUUGCCCAGCAAAUACAACACAUCCCUGCAGCAGCAAAGUGUACUGCCUCCGUGUUUUAACAUUACAGGUAGAGUAUUGUUACUCAUGAGUAGUUGCACACAUUAACUGAUAUGUUUUGUACUGUAUUGCUAUCCACAGGCAUUGACAGCUGAGUAUAACUAAACAUUUAAAAGAGAGAAAAAAGGACAAAAUGAGGGAGAAACAAUUUCUUAGUAUGCAGGCUGGGUGUGUUUCCUUACACCUGUCCCAACUGAAGAGCCUCCUAAUGGGACAGAUCGUGUUUCUAGAGAUAUAAUAAAAAGCCAGCAAACCUGGGGAAGCAGCACAUCAAUACCUGGCUCCUGAGCUCUGCAAAAGCCAGUCACUCACACCACCCAGAAACCUGCUACUUGUGCUCAUCAGCCAGCACUUGGCCCUGAGCAGGUUACUUGCUGCCUGGGGGUGGGACUGGCCUCUGCUGAUGUAAAGAAAAUUCAGGUGGUGCAGGCAGGACAUGAUAUGAUUUCAAAAGAGUGGAAGCAUUAAAGAACAUUGUUUACUCCUCCUUGCUGUUCCAUUGUGUCUGUGUUUUAGUGGAGUCCCUUACUCCAAAGGGUUGCUUAGUGCAGUGAUAUGUUUGUGAGCAUUAAUGCCCUGUGCUGUAAAGCACCUGCUUCUUCCCUCAGCUUCAUUAAUUGCUAUAAUGGACAACUUUCCCUCUAAAGACCCACCUUAUCCUCCACUUCCCUGAUCAACAAAGCCUUGUCCUGAGUGGCUGAUGACUUAAUGUCUAAUUAGCUGCAAGAUCCUGAAAACAACCUUGAAAACAUUUGCUGUCAACAGCUUGGAAUCAUGGAGUGGCUUGGGUUGAAGGGGACCUUAAAGAUCAUCUAGUUCCAGUUCCUCUGCUGUGAACAGCGGUGCCUCUCACCAGACCAGGUUGUCAGUGAUCCAUCCAGCAUGGCCUUGAACACUGCCAGGAAUGGGGCAUCCACUACUACUCCGGGUGACCUGUUCCAGUGCCUCAGCACUCUCACAGUACCCCUUCAUGGGAUACUUCACAAGUCUGUUUGGAACCUUCUCUUCUUCCCCAAAGUCACAGAAGUCUGACCCUUGCUGGCUGACCCAAUGCUGGAGUACCACUGUUGUAUUCUGCUGCUGCUGAAGCCCAUGAUGUGCAGGUAAAAGUGCCCACAGUUUUCUCCACAGCUGGAUAAGGCCUGAAGGCAAAAGGACUACUUGAUCCUGUUGUGAAGCACAACAGAAGGGCUGCCAUGCAUUAAGGCUUAUCUUUGCUGUACUACAUCAAGAAGCAGUGAAUUGAAAGUAACUUCAAAACAAACCAAGGAACAAACACUGUCUUGGCAGUCAGCACACUCCAUUUGGUUUGCAUUUUUAGUUCACUGUGGCUUCUUUUAUGAGCAGUAGCUGAACUUAAUGUGAAAUAAAUACCCUUGUGAAGACAUCUUUUCCUU